rnacentral:rRNA from 1 species
UGGGGAAUAUUGGACAAUGGGGGCAACCCUGAUCCAGCCAUGCCGCGUGAAUGAUGAAGGCCUUCGGGUUGUAAAGUUCUUUUGGUGGGGACGAUGAUGACGGUACCCACAGAAUAAGCUCCGGCUAACUUCGUGCCAGCAGCCGCGGUAAUACGCAGGGGGCUAGCGUUGUUCGGAAUUACUGGGCGUAAAGGGCGCGUAGGCGGCUUGAUAAGUUGGAUGUGAAAUCCCAAGGCUUAACUUUAGAACUGCAUUCAAGACUGUCUUGCUUGAAUU